rnacentral:rRNA from 1 species
AGUGAACGCUGGCGGCAGGCCUAACACAUGCAAGUCGAACGAGUGGCGGACGGGUGAGGAAUAUAUGGGAAACUACUCUGUCGAGGGGGAUAACGUAGGGAAACUUACGCUAAUACCGCAUACGAUCGAAUGAGCCGAUAUCGGAUUAGCUAGUUGGCGGGGUAACGGCCCACCAAGGCGACGAUCCGUAGCUGGUCUGAGAGGAUGAUCAGCCACACUGGAACUGAGACACGGUCCAGACUCCUACGGGAGGCAGCAGUGGGGAAUAUUGGACAAUGGGCGCAAGCCUGAUCCAGCCAUGCCGCGUGUGUGAAGAAGGCCUUCGGGUUGUAAAGCCCUUUUGUUGGGAAAGCGGUACCCAAAGAAUAAGCACCGGCUAACUUCGUGCCAGCAGCCGCGGUAAUUC